rnacentral:hammerhead_ribozyme from 1 species
AUCCGGUUGACGAGUCCCAAAUAGGACGAAACGCGCGUCAGACUGGAU